AAAUGUCUUGUAGCGGUGGGAAUCAAGGCAUUGGAGUAAAUAAAUAUAUUUUUCUAAAUUCUAAGUUAUGAACUUUUGCCAGUAUAGCUGUGAAAUAGGUAUUAAAUUCUGUUCUAAGUAGUCUGAAAAAGUCUUAAAUUGAAGUUGUAGAAACCUGUAGGA